AAAGGUAGCCCGGCCUCGGGAAAGCUUUUAUCUCUGGCGGAGCUCCUGGUAACCUUGGCGAUGCGCUCUCAGCAGCCGAGGAUUGAAAUUAUGUCAUUUUUCCCUCAGAUACCUUAGUCUCGGGCGGUAUCCUGUGAUGGAGGUGUGGUAAGUGAGACAGAGAGAUUUACACCGAGAGAGAACGCCUCUAUCUCCUCUCUACUCAUCCCUACCCUUUAAAAUAGACACUGACACAGUAAAAGAAGACGUGGAGCCCCUUCCCGAGCCCAAGGGUGCUGUUCUGGCUAGAACGCUUUAAAAUUGCUGAGGGUUCUUGGCACUGGAAAUACUUAAGUAACGUUUUGUUAACCAAACACGGAAUACUGAAGAGUCGUGGUUGCCAAAUCCAGGAAAAAUACGGGCGUUAGGAAAAGUCCAGGGAAAGCAGACUCAAUGAACAAGCUGUUAAGGGUCCUCUCUUACCAUGUCUGGCUGGCGGCGCCCCAGAUGCCAUGUGAUGACCAUUUGAAGACAGGCCUGUCGGACAUCAGGUAGUGAGCCCAUCACCGUGGCCAUUGUCACAUCUUCCUUGGUGGUGUGCAGCAUUACAACUCUGAGUGGAAACUCUGAGUACAUGGGCAAGUUUGUGGACACACGGACCUCACACAGGGAAACUGAUGGCCACCAUGUCACACACUGCAGUGGAAACCAUUGACAGAGGAUCCAAUGUGAGUGCCCACCUGGAGUUGUGCAGCAGUGCAGCCCUACAGGAGUAAUACAGAUGGAGUGAGAGCUGCUUUUCUGGGAGAAGUCAGCUGUUAUGUCAUGAGGACAAUUAAGAAACUCUGUAGGACUUCCCUGGUGGCGCAGUGCUUAAGAAUCCGCCUGCCAGUGAAGGGCACACAGUUUCGAGCCCUGGUCUGUGAAGAUCCCACAUGCCACAGAACGGCUAAGCCUGUACGCCAUAACUGCUGAGCCUGUGCUCUAGAGCCCACGAGCCACAACUACUGAAGCCCGCACGCCUAGAGCCUGUGCUCCGCAACAAGAGAAGCCACCGCAAUGAGAAGCCCGCGCACCACAAUGAAGAGUAGCUCCCACUCACCGCAACUAGAGGAAGCCUGAAGACCCAACGCAGCCAAAAAUAAAUAAAUAAAUAAAUAAAUUUAUUUAUUUAAAAAAAAAAAGAAAAGAAACUCUAUGGAGCACUCCACAUGGCAAUAAACUGAGCUCUCCUGCCACAAGCCAGUGAAAAACAGACCUCCAGUCAAGAGCCAUGUGAGUGAGUUCCUCCAGCCCCAGUUAAGCCUUAAGAUGACUACAGCCCCAGCCAACACCUUGACUGAAACCUCAUGAGAGACCUGAGCUAGAACCACCUGACUCUCAGAAAUUGUAUGAGCUGCUUUUCUGGGAGAAGUCAGCUGUUAUGUCAUGAGGACAAUUAAGAAACUCUGUAGGACUUCCCUGGUGGCGCAGUGCUUAAGAAUCCGCCUGCCAGUGAAGGGCACACAGUUUCGAGCCCUGGUCUGUGAAGAUCCCACAUGCCACAGAACGGCUAAGCCUGUACGCCAUAACUGCUGAGCCUGUGCUCUAGAGCCCACGAGCCACAACUACUGAAGCCCGCACGCCUAGAGCCUGUGCUCCGCAACAAGAGAAGCCACCGCAAUGAGAAGCCCGCGCACCACAAUGAAGAGUAGCUCCCACUCACCGCAACUAGAGGAAGCCUGAAGACCCAACGCAGCCAAAAAUAAAUAAAUAAAUAAAUAAAUUUAUUUAUUUAAAAAAAAAAAGAAAAGAAACUCUAUGGAGCACUCCACAUGGCAAUAAACUGAGCUCUCCUGCCACAAGCCAGUGAAAAACAGACCUCCAGUCAAGAGCCAUGUGAGUGAGUUCCUCCAGCCCCAGUUAAGCCUUAAGAUGACUACAGCCCCAGCCAACACCUUGACUGAAACCUCAUGAGAGACCUGAGCUAGAACCACCUGACUCUCAGAAAUUGUAUGAGGGAGAAGGCCUGCAGGGCACAGGCGAGCGGAGGCGGGCAGCGAGGAGAAGGCGCCAGCAGCAGAGCCAGCAGCAGGCGGUAGAGUUCCCGGCGGCAGCGUGAGCUGGUAUACGGGGAGUUGCCUAGGACCUCGCCCUGCUGGACGCCCAUGACCAGUGGGAGGACCAGAUCAUGCAGUCUCUGAAAAGGACAGAGAGCACACCUUGCGAUGACACUGAGACGAGCCAACCCUUCUCCGGGGCCUACUCCCCGGUGUGAAUGAGCCCCCCACAGGCACAGAGCAGCGGCCCCUCCCACCUCCGUGGGCACCAGGCUCCACUCACCCUGUGAGUCUCCUCCUUGAUGAGAGGCCCGCACAUGAGGAUGGUCCGGCUGAGGCCUGGGGAAGGAGACCAGUAUGUUGGAGGUGGGCGGCUAACACGAUGACGAGCCAGGGCUUCUGAAGCGCGUGGCCCCAGCUGAGCACCCCGCUCUGCCGCGGCCCACCUCGGGCAAGUCACGUAACUCCUCUUAGUUUGUUUUCUCAGCUAUAAAACGGGGAUCCUAAAC